rnacentral:rRNA from 1 species
CGUGCCGUGAGGUGUCGGGUUAAGUCCCAUACGAGCGCAACCUUACCGUUAGUUGCCAUCGGGUCAAGCCGGGGACGUCUAGCGGGACUGCCACCGUAAGGUGAGAGGAAGGUGGGGAUGACGUCAAAUCAGCACGGCCCUUAUGUCCAGGGCUACACACGUGUUACAAUGGCCGGUACAGAGGGCAGCUACCUGGUGACAGGAUGCUAAUCCCGAAAGCCGGUCCCAGUUCGGAUUGGAGUCUGCAACCCGACUCCAUGAAGUUGGAUUCGCUAGUAAUCGCGCAUCAGCCAUGGCGCGGUGAAUACGUUCCCGGGCCUU